CCAUUGGUGGUCCAGUGGUAGAAUUUUCACCUUCCAUGCGAGAAACCCGGGUUUGAUUCUCAGCCAAUGCA
rnacentral:tRNA from 1 species